rnacentral:rRNA from 1 species
GAUGAACGCUGGCGGCAUGCUUUACACAUGCAAGUCGGACGGGAAGUGGUGUUUCCCGUGGCGGGCGGGUGAGUAACGCGUAAGAACCUGCCCUUGGGAGGGGAACAACAGCUGGAAACGGCUGCUAAUACCCCGUAGGCUGAGGAGCGAAAGGAGGAAUCCGCCCAAGGAGGGGCUCGCGUCUGAUUAGCUAGUUGGUGAGGUAAUAGCUUACCAAGGCCGUGAUCAGUAGCUGGUCCGAGAGGAUGAUCAGCCACACUGGGACUGAGACAAGGCCCAGACUCCUACGGGAGGCAGCAGUGGGGAAUGUUCCGCAAUGGGCGAAAGCCUGACGGAGCAAUGCCGCGUGGAGGUAAAAGGCCUACGGGUCAUGAACUUCUUUUCCUGGAGAAGAAACAAUGACGGUAUCUGGGGAAUAAGCAUCGGCUAACUCUGUG